rnacentral:lncRNA from 1 species
ACAGUGAAUCAUACAAAAGUAUCAUUUGCCCAUAUAUUUCAUUUGUGUCAUGGUGAUGUCACACAUUCAUAGAUUUUGUGACAUUUUUACAUCAUGAUGAGAUCAUAUAACUUAUUAUUGCAUUUGAAAUCCACUGAUUUUUAAGCUCAAAUUUCAUCAUUUAUUUAACCAGUGUAUAUUAUGUUGUGAUGAUGUCAUUAUAAAUGGUGAUAUGAUGCCAUAGUGAUAUCACUUGCUGUUAUGUCAUCGUGAUGUCAUAUGACAAAAGAAUUUUAUGGUAUCAUCCAUUGUUGCAUUACUGAUGAUGUCAUUUUAGUAUGCUAUGAUGUCAUCUGAAUUUGAACAUUAUUCUGAAGAAUUUGAAUGAGGGCAUUUUCAUUGCUACCUCAAAAUGCCCCACCUCUAUGGCAAUCUUAUCCAGGAUAGCCUAUGUUAUUCACAGACUGUCGGAAGUCUUGGGCCAAGUUUGGUCCCAAGAUGUCAAACAGUGUGGAAGCCUUUAAGGAAUAUACAAACAUUUGAUUGAUGUCAUGAUGAUGUCAACCUGAUGUCAUUUAUAGUUUUGUCAUCACGACAUCAUACAUAACAGUUGUUUUGUGAUGUCAUCCAUGUUACAUCAUAAUGACAUCAUAGGUACCUAUGAUGUGAUAUUAUCUAGAAUUCAAAAAAAUUUUGAAGGAUUUAUAUAUGGUAUCAUUCUUAUCAACCCAAAAUGCCCUGCUCCUGCAGUAUUUUGCAAAUUUCAUAAUUUUCUGAAGGAUCUGGGAUCAUUCUCUAUUUUCAUAGAAAAUUUCAAGUGUCUACUAUGCCCAGAAGUGCCCAAACCAGACACACAAAUAUAUAUAGAUAGAUAGUCUGUUAUCUCUGCCAUUUAUAGUAUAGAUAUAUUAAAGUAAUUACUUAAUUAUAUAUUAAGAUAUAUUAAAUAAUAUCAGAUAAAAAAAAUGAUAAUCUUGAAACCAGAAGAAAAACUAGCCUAUACUAAAAC